UCACCUCUCUCGUGUACCUGAUGUUUAUGAAACAGUUGAUGUGGCUCCAACACCCUUAGCAGAUUCCCUUUUGAAGCUCUUGCUGAAGCCCAUCCAUUUUGCUUCCUUAACAGCAAAUUCAACGUUGAUGUCAUGUGUUAUUGAGGGAUUCUGUCGAGAGGUGUUUGGGAAAGCGCACAUACUCAAAUCCGUAAUUUUGUCAUACCCUGCGUGGCAAAUGAAUCCAGUGUGAUGAUACCUGUCGACCGAAUCUUUGCAUUUCUUGGAAAUCCUAAUAAUUCUCUGAUACAAAAUUUCCUAAAAGUUUCUCCAGCUCCGUCACUCUUAUAUUCACUUCUCAUGAUUGUUCAUACUAAUGUUGAAUUUCCCAAUGCAAAUGCC